rnacentral:rRNA from 1 species
GUAGUUAGCCGGGGCUUCCUCCUAUGUUACCGUCACUUCCUUCGUCACAUAGGACAGAGGUUUACAAUCCGAAAACCGUCUUCCCUCACGCGGCGUUGCUAGGUCAGGCUUUCGCCCAUUGCCUAAUAUUCCCCACUGCUGCCUCCCGUAGGAGUCUGGACCGUGUCUCAGUUCCAGUGUGGCCGAUCAGCCUCUCAGCUCGGCUACCCAUCGCUGACUAGGUGGGCCGUUACCCCGCCUACUAUCUAAUGGGACGCGAGCCCCUCCUUUAGCGGAUUGCUCCUUUGACCUCUCUGAAAUGCUUCAGUGUGGUCUCAUGCGGUAUUAGCAUCGAUUUCUCGAUGUUAUCCCCCUCUAAAGGACAGGUUGCUCACGCGUUACUCACCCGUUCGCCACUAGGUUAAGCACCGAAGCGCUUAACCCCGUUCGACUUGCAUGUGUUAGGCGACGCCGCCACGCGUCGUCUCGAGCACGAGACAACUACUACGACUAGAGACGGCGNGGCGACGGACGCGACGAG